rnacentral:lncRNA from 1 species
CCAUUUCUGUCCGAGAGGCUGAAUGCGAAGCUCGGAGAAGGCGGCCGGCCCUGCUGUCCCAUCAGAGAGGCUCGGAGGGCCCACAGCCAUUGCCAGGGCCUGGAGGGGUUUGGUCCCGAGGGCGUCUCCUGUUCCUCCGACCUGGCUCCAAGACUGGGACCCUGACUCGCCCUCCAGUGUUGCCACCCCGCGGCAGGGCUCUGGUGAGGCCCCACCCAUACUCUCCUCCCAAGGCUCAUUCCUGGUCACUGGACACCCUGAACUCAACUCUAGACGGCCUUGCUCAGCCCCUACGACGGUCCCAAUCUGCCCUUUUCUCUCUGAGAGGCUGAAUGCGAAGCUCGGAGAAGGCGGCCGGCCCUCCUGUCCCAAGAGAGAGGCUUGUGAGGGCCCACUGCCAACGCCAGGUUGGGUCCCUCCGGGGGACUUCUGAUUUUCCUCACACACAGCAGCUUCUGGACAUCAGGGUUGGCAACUGAGGGGCUAUCCGUCUCUCCCUCCCUAUUUGUGGGGCCUCCCCGGAAUGAGGCCACUGGUCGGUGGCAGGACAGGUGCCCUUGCUGGGACUGGAGGUGCGCUGACCCGGGGAAGAACAAGACCUUGAUCAUGUGCCACUGCGAGAGGAACUCGACGCGCCAGCUCACGCGGCCGUGGCCUGAGUUGGGAAAUGGCCAACACGAGUGACCCGGAGCUGAGCUCGUGGCGACAGGGCCGAGUGGAGUUCUGGUCAAGGCCGAUGGAGGUUCUGCUGUCAGAGUGGAGGCCAAAGGUAGAGUGCGCCGGGUCAGAAGAGCCAGGGAAAGUGCUGGAGCCGUGGUGAGAGGAGCACCUUGCACGGGCUUCCCGCAUGGCUGGCGGACUCUAGCAGACGCUGUCUUGCACGCCUCCCCAGGGCAGUCUUGAGAUGACAAGCGAUGGGAGCAUCCCUUGGAAGACAGCCUCCCCGGGGAGCUGCGGGAAACAUGAUACACAAGCUGUAGCCAGGAGCAGAGGGCCCUGGGACAGCAGGGCAGGCCAGGCCAGGCCAGGCCAGGCCAGGUGCGGGUGGCCCCUUUAGAGUCAUGGCCCUCCCUGGCCCUCCCUUCACUUCACCGAAUUCUCCUGCUGUCCGUCCCCGCCAGGCCUCUUGCCACCCCCUGCCCCAUGGCUCCCCUCCCAGCUCAGCCCUAAGCUGCCUGUAGCCCUGGGGCACGUCAGAGACUCUGCGAGGAAGAAGCCCAGGAGAGAAGGGCAAGAUUCCUUACCUUGGCGAAAGGGACCUCAGGCCCCCCACUUCUGCCAGGUCCUUCCGGCCAGCUCUGUAAGCUAGAAAUGAGGGCACUGGGUCACAGCCGUGAAGGCGGGGGCCUAGGGCUCUGGCAGGAGGCUGCGUGCAGUGUGCCUUUAGGGGAGACCGUUUGAGGUCAGACUCUGGAGCCCAGGCACCAGUGCCCAAGGCCACGGGAUCCC